ACAGAGCUUUAUUCCUCAACCCAGCAGCCGCGUGUUUGAUUCCGCCCUGUGGCCCUUUGCUGCAUGUCUUUGCCCCUCUCUCUACCCACUCAUGUCUAAGCUGUUCUAUCAAAUAAAAGCCUAAAUUGCCAAAAACAUAAACUUAAAAAAACAACAACAUCCACUUUUUAUAUAAUGAAUACUAUGUUUGAACAUAAAUUGGGAAUUGAUGAAGGGGUAUGGGAGUUCAUCUGACAGGGCUGUGGGGGUACCCCAGACCAAAAAGGUGGGGAACCACU